rnacentral:rRNA from 1 species
UCGAGAUGAGCUCUCCCAUCCCCUUGAGGGAGUAAGACCCCUGGAAGACCACCAGGUGAUAGGCCGGAUGUGUAAGGGCAGCAAUGCACUCAGCAGACCGGUACUAAUGGUUCGAGGGCUUGACGGA